rnacentral:rRNA from 1 species
UACGAAGGGUGCAAACGCUGCUCGGAAUCAUUGGGCGUAAAGCGCACGUAGGCGGCCCAGCAAGUUGGAUGUGAAAUCCCUCGGCUCAACCGAGGACGUGCAUCCAAAACUGCUGGGCUUGAGUACUGAAGAGGAUCGCGGAAUUCCCGGUGUAGAGGUGAAAUUCGUAGAUAUUGGGAAGAACACCGGUGGCGAAGGCGGCUCACUGGCUCAUUACUGACGCUCAGGCGCGAUAGCGUGGGGAUCAAACAGG